rnacentral:rRNA from 1 species
UUGUAGUUUCGAGAAGCACUUUCUAGGUGGACCCGGGGCCGUCCAAGUUGCUUGGAACAGCACGUCAUAGAGGGUGACAACCCCGUCUGUGGCGGAACCGGCCGCUGACGAUGCGCUUUCGACGAGUCGGGUUGUUUGGGAAUGCAGCCCAAAAUGGGUGGUAAACUCCAUCUAAAGCUAAAUACUGGCACGAGACCGAUAGCGAACAAGUACCGUGAGGGAAAGAUGAAAAGCACUUUGAAAAGAGAGUUAAAAAGUACGUGAAACCGUUAAAAGGGAAACGAAUGGGGUUAGCAAUGCGCUCUGCGAGAUUCAGCCGGUGGGAGUGGCUGGGCGGGCGGUCUGCGGAUCUGAAUGGACCGCGGCCGUUCGCGUCGGCUCUUCGACCGUCGCACUUCUCGCGAGCGCGCGUCAGCGUCGGUUGGGACUGGGUCUCAAAGGCGUCGGCAAGGUAGGUCUCUCCCCUCGGGGAGCGACUGUUAUAGACCGGCGUUUUUCAUGGCUCGGACCUGACCGAGGUGCCGCGGCGUGUGCCUCUUUUGGCUGGGGUCCCGUCGUUCCGGUCGGUCGUCGACUGCGGUGGACUGCGUGCAGUGCGCCGCGACUGCUGCCGGUCGCUUCGGCGGUGACCUCACACCACGCGCCCAGGACGCUGGCGGUCACAUGGCCUCAUCCGACCCGUCUUGAAACACGGACCAAGGAGUCUAACAUGUGCGCGAGUCUUCGAGUG